GAGUUUGAUCCUGGCUCAGGACGAACGCUGGCGGCGUGCUUAACACAUGCAAGUCGAACGGAGCAUUUUGGAAUGAGGUUUCGGCCAAAGGAAGGAAUGCUUAGUGGCGGACUGGUGAGUAACGCGUGAGGAACCUGCCUUUCAGUGGGGGACAACAGUUGGAAACGACUGCUAAUACCGCAUGACACAUUUGGGUGGCAUCACUUGAAUGUCAAAGAUUUAUCGCUGAAAGAUAGGCCUCGCGUCUGAUUAGCUAGUUGGUGAGGUAAUGGGCCCACCAAGGCGACGAUCAGUAG
rnacentral:rRNA from 1 species